CAAAGGAAGCGAUUCCGGCGGGGGAUGGGCAUGCGGCGCAUUAGCUAGUCGGCGGGGUAACGGCCCACCGAGGCGACGAUGCGUAGGGGUUCUGAGAGGAAGGUCCCCCACACUGGUACUGAGACACGGACCAGACUCCUACGGGAGGCAGCAGUGAGGAAUAUUGGUCAAUGGGCGGGAGCCUGAACCAGCCAAGUCGCGUGAGGGAAGACGGUCCUACGGAUUGUAAACCUCUUUUGCCGGGGAGCAACGGGGUCCUUGCGAGGGCCCAAUGAGAGUACCCGGAGAAAAAGCAUCGGCUAACUCCGUGCCAGCAGCCGCGGUAAUACGGAGGAUGCGAGCGUUAUCCGGAUUUAUUGGGUUUAAAGGGUGCGUAGGCGGGCUGUUAAGUCAGCGGUCAAAUGUCGGGGCUCAACCCCGGCCUGCCGUUGAAACUGGUGGCCUCGAGUGGGCGAGAAGUAUGCGGAAUGCGUGGUGUAGCGGUGAAAUGCAUAGAUAUCACGCAGAACUCCGAUUGCGAAGGCAGCAUACCGGCGCCCGACUGACGCUGAGGCACGAAAGCGUGGGUAUCGAACAGGAUUAGAUACCCUGGUAGUCCACGCAGUAAACGAUGAAUGCUAGCUGUCCGG
rnacentral:rRNA from 1 species